rnacentral:rRNA from 1 species
GUGUCAGCAGCCGCGGUAAUACAGAGGGUGCAAGCGUUGCUCGGAAUCAUUGGGCGUAAAGGGUAGGUAGGUGGUCUCAUUUGUCUGGGGUGAAAGCCCAGGGCUUAACCCUGGAAGUGCCCCGGAAACGGUGAGACUGGAGUCUUGGAGAGGGUCGUGGAAUUCCCGGUGUAGCGGUGAAAUGCGUAGAGAUCGGGAGGAACACCAGAGGCGAAGGCGGCGACCUGGACAAGCACUGACACUCAACUACGAAAGCGUGGGGAGCAAACAGGAUUAGAUACCCUGGUAGUCC